UACGAAGGGGGCUAGCGUUGUUCGGAAUUACUGGGCGUAAAGCGUGCGCGGGCGGCUUCUCAAGUCAGGGGUGAAAGCCCAGAGCUCAACUCUGGAAUUGCCUUUGAGACUGAGUGGCUUGAGUACGAGAGAGGUGAGUGGAAUUCCCAGUGUAGAGGUGAAAUUCGUAGAUAUUGGGAAGAGCACCGGUGGCGAAGGCGGCUCACUGGCUCGUAACUGACGCUCAUGCACGACAGCGUGGGGAUCAAACAGG
rnacentral:rRNA from 1 species